rnacentral:rRNA from 1 species
UACAGGGGGGGCAAGCGUUGUUCGGAAUUACUGGGCGUAAAGGGUCUGUAGGUGGCCAACUAAGUCAGACGUGAAAUCCCUCAGCUUAACUGGGGAACUGCGUCUGAUACUGGAUGGCUUGAGUGUGGGAGAGGAAUGCGGAAUUCCAGGUGUAGCGGUGAAAUGCGUAGAUAUCAGGAGGAACACCUGCGGUGUAGACGGCUUUCUGGACCAUUGUUGACGCUGAGACACGAAAGCGUGGGUAGCAAACAGG